rnacentral:lncRNA from 1 species
CUCCCCCUAUCCGAUCUCUUAAUAAUUGGGUUUCGACUUUGCUCAUGUUAGGACGAGGUUAUCCUCUUAUUCCUAACAUGGCUGUGGGGGUGCAUAAGGGUCGUUGCGAGGGCCUCUCCCCCUAUCUGGUCUCUUAAUAAUCAGGUCUUUGACUUUGCUCAUGUUAGGAUGAGGUUCUCCUCCAGUUCCUAACAUGGCUGUAG